CAAAGGAGCAAUCCGCUGAAAGAUGGGCUCGCGUCCGAUUAGGUAGUUGGCGGGGCAACGGCCCACCAAGCCGACGAUCGGUAGCCGGACUGAGAGGUUGAACGGCCACAUUGGGACUGAGACACGGCCCAGACUCCUACGGGAGGCAGCAGUGAGGGAUAUUGGUCAAUGGGGGAAACCCUGAACCAGCAACGCCGCGUGAGGGAAGACGGUUUUCGGAUUGUAAACCUCUGUCCUCUGUGAAGAUGAUGACGGUAGCAGAGGAGGAAGCUCCGGCUAACUACGUGCCAGCAGCCGCGGUAAUACGUAGGGAGCAAGCGUUGUCCGGAUUUACUGGGUGUAAAGGGUGCGUAGGCGGCUUUGCGAGUCAGAAGUGAAAUCCAUGGGCUUAACCCAUGAACUGCUUUUGAAACUGCAGAGCUUGAGUGGAGUAGAGGUAGGCGGAAUUCCCGGUGUAGCGGUGAAAUGCGUAGAGAUCGGGAGGAACACCAGUGGCGAAGGCGGCCUGCUGGGCUCUAACUGACGCUGAGGCACGAAAGCGUGGGUAGCAAACAGGAUUAGAUACCCUGGUAGUCCACGCUGUAAACGAUGAUUACUAGGUGUGGGUGGACUGACCCCAUCC
rnacentral:rRNA from 1 species